UCACGUACGCCCCGGCCCAGAGUCCUCAACUAAUUAGUAGUGCUCAUUUCUUAAUUCUUUUGUCUCCAGAUUCUGAUUGGUCGAGCUGGGGAAACAAGGCUAUAAAAUGGAUGGAGGCGGACCCUUUCAGGGAACUCGCUGCCAGCCACAGACUUCACCAUACCACAUCGUCUCCUGCUCCUAUUUUGUUGUUAUUUUGGAGUAGGGAGCCCCAGCCUGUUUCUUUUAGUUUAGUUAUUUCUUUAUUAUGUGGCUGGGCUCCCUAUCUCAUGAUUUUGGUUACUUUUAUUCUGAUUGGUCGAGCUGGGGAAACAAGGCUAUAAAAUGGAUGGAGGCGGACCCUUUCAGGGAACUCGCUGCCAGCCACAGACUUCACCAUACCACAUCGUCUCCUGCUCCUAUUUUGUUGUUAUUUUGGAGUAGGGAGCCCCAGCCUGUUUCUUUUAGUUUAGUUAUUUCUUUAUUAUGUGGCUGGGCUCCCUAUCUCAUGAUUUUGGUUACUUUUGUGAGUAUUUUGUGUUAAAAUAAAUGAUUAUUUUGGGAUA